CGGAUUGUUCUUAUUUUCCUCAAUUAAGUUGGAAAAAUAGGAUGAUCGAGCAGCAGUGAGGGCUCUUCGAUACUGCACGGUACUCUCUUUCCAAGCUAGUCGGAAGACUUCCAGUUUGGUGUGGCGCCAUUUCCGUUCCAAUUUUCUGGAAGCUUGCUUCAGAGCUCGUGUAUUUCUGUAUACCAGGGAGCUAGUUUCUUAUGACAAAUGUUUUUCGUUUUUAGGGGUGCAACUGCAUCUAGGGUAUUGCGCAAGGUUAAAUUGAGUUCCUCGGUUAGGUGGUUAACUGAUUUUUGUCCUCUGACGUCCUUGGGUAGGCAGAGGCAGUCUGGAAGGACAUCAAGGAAUCUUUGGGUUGUCUGAGAAUUUAUAGCACGACUUUUAAUGCUCCUUGGUUGGGGUCUGAGCAGAUUAUUUGUUGCGAUUGCAUACGUAAUAAAAUGGUGGUCCGAUAGUCC
rnacentral:lncRNA from 1 species